rnacentral:rRNA from 1 species
UACGAAGGGGGCUAGCGUUGCUCGGAAUCACUGGGCGUAAAGGGCGCGUAGGUGGCGGCUUAAGCGUGCGGUGAAAGCUCGGGGCUCAACCCCGAGUCGGCCGUGCGAACUGAGUCGCUUGAGCACUGUAGAGGCAGGCGGAAUUCCGGGUGUAGCGGUGGAAUGCGUAGAGAUCCGGAAGAACACCGGUGGCGAAGGCGGCCUGCUGGGCAGUAGCUGACACUGAGGCGCGACAGCGUGGGGAGCAAACAGG